UGUCCCAGCCGCCGCGGUAAUACAGAGGGUGCAAGCGUUAAUCGGAUUUACUGGGCGUAAAGCGCGCGUAGGCGGCUAAUUAAGUCAAAUGUGAAAUCCCCGAGCUUAACUUGGGAAUUGCAUUCGAUACUGGUUAGCUAGAGUGUGGGAGAGGAUGGUAGAAUUCCAGGUGUAGCGGUGAAAUGCGUAGAGAUCUGGAGGAAUACCGAUGGCGAAGGCAGCCAUCUGGCCUAACACUGACGCUGAGGUGCGAAAGCAUGGGGAGCAAACAGGAUUAGAUACCCUGGUAGUCCAUGCCGUAAACGAUGUCUACUAGCCGUUGGGGCCUUUGAGGCUUUAGUGGCGCAGCUAACGCGAUAAGCAGACCGCCUGGGGAGUACGGUCGCAAGACUAAAACUCAAAUGAAUUGACGGGGGCCCGCACAAGCGGUGGAGCAUGUGGUUUAAUUCGAUGCAACGCGAAGAACCUUACCUGGCCUUGACAUAGUAAGAACUUUCCAGAGAUGGAUUGGUGCCUUCGGGAACUUACAUAACAGGUGCUGCAUGGCUGUCGUCAGCUCGUGUCGUGAGAUGUUGGGUUAAGUCCCGCAACGAGCGCAACCCUUUUCCUUAUUUGCCAGCGAGUAAUGUCGGGAACUUUAAGGAUACUGCCAGUGACAAACUGGAGGAAGGCGGGGACGACGUCAAGUCAUCAUGGCCCUUACGGCCAGGGCUACACACGUGCUACAAUGGUCGGUACAAAGGGUUGCUACCUAGCGAUAGGAUGCUAAUCUCAAAAAGCCGAUCGUAGUCCGGGAUUGGUAGUCUGCAACUCGACUCCAUGAAGUCGGAAUCGCUAGUAAUCGCGGAUCAGAAUGCCGCGGUGAAUACGUUCCCGGGCCUUGUACACACCGCCCGUCACACCAUGGGAGUUUGUUGCACCAGAAGUAGCUAGCCUAACUGCAAAGAGGGCGGUUACCACGGUGUGGCCGAUGACUGGGGUGAAGUCGUAACAAGGUAACCGAUCGAUCGGCAGUCGCCAUGGCGCCGAAAAUGCCAAGUCGCCAAUCGC
rnacentral:rRNA from 1 species